UACGAAGGGGGCUAGCGUUGUUCGGAAUUACUGGGCGUAAAGCGCACGUAGGCGGAUUGUUAAGUUAGGGGUGAAAUCCCAGGGCUCAACCCUGGAACUGCCUCUAAUACUGGCAAUCUCGAGUCCGAGAGAGGUGAGUGGAAUUCCGAGUGUAGAGGUGAAAUUCGUAGAUAUUCGGAGGAACACCAGUGGCGAAGGCGGCAUCCUGGCCCUGUCCUGGCGCUCAGGGGCGAAAGCGUGGGGAGCAAACCGG
rnacentral:rRNA from 1 species